rnacentral:rRNA from 1 species
UACAGAGGUCCCAAGCGUUGUUCGGAUUCACUGGGCGUAAAGGGUGUGUAGGAGGCUUGGUAAGUCAGGUGUGAAAUCCCGCAGCUCAACUGCGGAACUGCAUUCGAUACUGCCGAGCUAGAGGAUCGGAGGGGGAAGCGGAAUUCUUGGUGUAGCGGUGAAAUGCGUAGAUAUCAAGAGGAACACCGGUGGCGAAGGCGGCUUCCUGGAAGAUACCUGACUCUGAAACACGAAAGCUAGGGGAGCGAAUGGG